GGAUGUGAUUUCCAAAAUAAGAGUAUGUGAUACCCAGUGAGGUUAACAUUUUUACGAUUUGCUAAUGUAGCACUGAGUGCUUUAAAUUCUGUUUAAUUCAUUCAGGUUGGGUAAAACAUUGUACUAUACUGUACUGUACUUUAUCUUUUUGAUUGCUUGACUUGCAGGAGAGCUGAUCAAAAGCUAGUCUAGUACUCCUCUGACAAAAAUUAAUAGAACAUAUGAACAAAAGUGUCAAAAAUAUAUUUGAAAUCAACUGCUAAUGAUUAACCCUUUAAAGCUCAUUGGAUCUUUUGGGUAAAACAUUCAAAACCCAAGGUAGUCUAGAAAGAAACAAACAUUUCUCAAAAAAGCAAGCCAUCAUUUGUAUAUUCUAACAACAUCACUAAACAUCUUGUAAAAUUCAAGUAAAUAAUCUUAAAAGACUGUCUAGAAGAAAAAGGCUAAACAUAGAGAGGUUGUGUGGGUUGUAAUCACUGAAGAAAUAUUGUCAAUAUUAGAACAAAUUCAAAGGAAAAAUAUUUCAACACAUCUUCAAAAUCGUUUUAUUUCAGUAAAUGUGUUUUGAGUUUUUUUGUUUUAUGAAAGAAUGUAAUAUGACCAAUUAAAAAGUUGAAUGCACAUUAAUGGCCAUUGAAAUCCACACAUAAGUGGAACUGAAAAUAGGAGGGACAAUGUGCAUCUAAACCUGUGUGUAUUAAAACUGAACUGAACUUUGUCUCUCUGAUAAAGAUUAAGAGUUGACUGCUUUCAUUGAGGUAUAUAACUGCAAAAUCAAGCUAAUACUAUAUCACUGAAUAAGCUCAGGACUUACAGAGUUUCAUAAUACACUAAAGUAUAAUUGUAGCAAGAAAACCACAGAUGUUAUUCGUUGCAAACGAAUGUUGCUGCUUUCAUUAUUUAAUUGAUUUGUGUGGAUAAAAAUAUUAUGUUUGCAAAUUAGAUAGUUUUAUGUUACUUCUUCCAACAUAAAAUAUGUUUUAUAUUUCCUGUUUAAUUGUAUGUUAAAAGCAAUAGAAAUGGAUAUAUCUAAAUCAAUAAUUGUAGAUUUACUUGUAAAAUGGAUGCAUGAAAUGUAGUGAGUCCAUGUAGACUCUGUGUAAACUGUCUAGGUUUUGGCCUCAGUUCAACUGGUAAAAUGUGUGUGAUGUUGAAUUUCAAAAGUACUAUGGAAAUAACUGGUGGUCUGAGCAAGCAAAUCAAUAAAUAACAGCAGAAAUCCUAAGUUUCAGUCAUUCAUUUGAAUAUGUAUUGUUGGAGUCAAAAAGUUACAUAUACUCAUGAUUUGUAGAAGUAGAGUACAGCAAAGCCUUUGUUGUCUUGGCCUUCUGUGUAUACAUUAAAAUGAGUUUUCUUCACAAUGCAAUUUCUUGAAAAGAAAAAAAAAAUCUUUAAAUAAAAGCAUGAAAAUCACUGUCUAUAGUCACCUUUAAAGAUACUGGGGAAAAAAAGUGGACCUACUAUGAAGUUGUUAAUAAAAUGUUAUAUGUACUGUAUAUAAAUAUAUACAAAAUGUGUGUGUAUGAUAUAUAUGAAACAAAACAGUACUUGCAAUUUUAUUUCAUAAGUUAUUCAUAAUGCACAGGGAUUUUACUUAAGGGAUGUAGCAGAAAAAAUGUCACAUCCAAGGAAAACACAUUUAAAUUUUUUCAUAUCUUAUGUUAAAAUAUAUAGUCAAUUGCAAUUUACACAAAAGUAAAACAGAUAAGAAUACAAAAUACAUAAUUU